rnacentral:rRNA from 1 species
AUUGAACGCUGGCGGCAGGCCUAACACAUGCAAGUCGAGCGGGGUUUUCGGACCUAGCGGCGGACGGGUGAGUAAUGCGUAGGAAGCUACCCGAUAGAGGGGGAUACCAGUUGGAAACGACUGUUAAUACCGCAUAAUGUCUACGGACCAAAGUGUGGGACCUUCGGGCCACAUGCUAUCGGAUGCGCCUACGUGGUAUUAGCUAGUUGGUGAGGUAAUGGCUCACCAAGGCGACGAUCCCUAGCUGGUUUGAGAGGAUGAUCAGCCACACUGGAACUGAGACACGGUCCAGACUCCUGCGGGAGGCAGCAGUGGGGAAUAUUGGACAAUGGGCGCAAGCCUGAUCCAGCCAUGCCGCGUGUGUGAAGAAGGCCUUCGGGUUGUAAAGCACUUUCAGUAGGGAGGAAGCGUUGUGUGUUAAUAGUACACAGCGUUGACGUUACCUACAGAAGAAGCACCGGCUAACUCUGUGCCAGCCGCCGCCGUAAUAC